GAAAAUAAAGUAGCGAAGUCCGUGAGCCAUGCGUCAAGAAAAGCCGCUAUUGUUUAUACCGUACCCGUACCGUAAACCGACACAGGUGGAUGAGGAGAGAAUCCUAAGGCCGGCGGAAGAAGCAUUGUCAAGGAACUCGGCAAAAUGGCCCCGUAACUUAGGGAUAAGGGGUGCCUCAGAAAUGAGGCCGCAGAGAAUAGGCUCAAGCAACUGUUUAGCAAAAACACAGGUCUAUGCGAAACCGAAAGGUGAGGUAUAUGGGCUGACGCCUGCCCGGUGCUGGAAGGUUAAGAGGAGAGGUUAGCGGUAACGCGAAGCUUUGAAUUUAAGCCCCAGUAAACGGCGGCCGUAACUAUAACGGUCCUAAGGUAGCGAAAUCCCUUGUCGGGUAAGUUCCGACCCGCACGAAAGGCGUAAUGAUUUGAGCGCUGUCUCGACAAUGCAUCCGGUGAAAUUGAAGUACCAGUGAAGAUGCUGGUUACCUGCGCCAGGACGGAAAGACCCCAUGGAGCUUUACUCCAGUCUGGUACUGGGACUCGGUAUUGCAUGUACAGGAUAGGUGGGAGGCUAGGAGAUGGUAACGCCAGUUGCCAUGGAGCCGCUGUUGGGAUACCACCCUUGCAGUAUUGGGUUUCUAACCAGCCGCCGUGACCCGGCGGUGGGACAAUGCCAGACGGGGAGUUUGACUGGGGCGGUCGCCUCCGAAAGGGUAUCGGAGGCGCCCAAAGGUUCCCUCAGAAUGGACGGAAACCAUUCGAAGAGUGCAAAGGCAGAAGGGAGCUUGACUGCGACACCGACGGGUGGAGCAGGUACGAAAGUAGGGCUUAGUGAUCCGGUGGUAUUAAGUGGGAAUGCCAUCGCUCAACGGAUAAAAGCUACCCUGGAUAACAGGCUUAUCACUCCCAAGAGUUCACAUCGACGGAGUGGUUUGGCACCUCGAUGUCGGCUCAUCGCAUCCUGGGGCUGUAGUAGGUCCCAAGGGUUGGGCUGUUCGCCCAUUAAAGCGGUACGCGAGCUGGGUUCAGAACGUCGUGAGACAGUUCGGUCCCUAUCCGGCGUGGGCGUAGGAUAUCUGAGAGGAGCUGUCCUUAGUACGAGAGGACCGGGAUGGACGGGCCGCUGGUGCAUCGGUUAGACUGCCAAGUCUACGGCCGAGUAGCCAAGCCCGGAAGGGAUAAACGCUGAAGGCAUCUAAGCGUGAAGCCCCCCUUAAGAUGAGAUAUCCCAUUCGAAAGAAGUAAACCCCCUUGAAGACGACGAGGUAGAUAGGGCAGAGGUGGAAGUGCAGCAAUGCAUGGAGCUGACUGUUACUAAUCGGGUGAGGGCUUGACC
rnacentral:rRNA from 1 species